GAUCAAGUCUGCAUGCGUCUCUGGGAAAAUACAUGGGUCUUUGAUAAUGAAAAUGACCACACUUCAUUUUGUGGCCAUUUACUUUUUUCUCUUUGAAGGGCCUAUUUAAUUCAUGAAGUUCAAUUUUCUUCUCAACAAAUCUCAACUGAAGGUUUUUAAAUCACUUUUCAAAUCCUGAUUCACUUAAGAGUAAACUAAAAGAAUUAUAGAACAUGUUCUUUUGAGUUUUAGACCUUUUUGUUUAUAUUUCCUGUCAUUUUAUCUCUUUGAUUAUUCUAUUAAAAUGUAUUGCUUGGAAAUACAGAAAUACAGAUUUGACAUUUGUUAUUCUCCAUAUGUUUCCUUAAUAAAAAAAAAACCUGACAAAUAA